UGCAAGUCGACGGUAACAGGCCGCAAGGUGCUGACGAGUGGCGAACGGGUGAGUAAUGCAUCGGAACGUGCCCAGUCGUGGGGGAUAACGCAGCGAAAGCUGCGCUAAUACCGCAUACGAUCUAUGGAUGAAAGCGGGGGACCGUAAGGCCUCGCGCGAUUGGAGCGGCCGAUGUUAGAUUAGGUAGUUGGUGGGGUAAAGGCUCACCAAGCCAACGAUCUGUAGCUGGUCUGAGAGGACGACCAGCCACACUGGGACUGAGACACGGCCCAGACUCCUACGGGAGGCAGCAGUGGGGAAUUUUGGACAAUGGGCGCAAGCCUGAUCCAGCAAUGCCGCGUGCAGGAAGAAGGCCUUCGGGUUGUAAACUGCUUUUGUACGGAACGAAACGGUCUGGGUUAAUACCCUGGGCUAAUGACGGUACCGUAAGAAUAAGCACCGGCUAACUACGUGCCAGCAGCCGCGGUAAUACGUAGGGUGCAAGCGUUAAUCGGAAUUACUGGGCGUAAAGCGUGCGCAGGCGGUUUUGUAAGACAGGCGUGAAAUCCCCGGGCUCAACCUGGGAAUGGCGCUUGUGACUGCAAAGCUGGAGUGCGGCAGAGGGGGAUGGAAUUCCGCGUGUAGCAGUGAAAUGCGUAGAUAUGCGGAGGAACACCGAUGGCGAAGGCAAUCCCCUGGGCCUGCACUGACGCUCAUGCAC
rnacentral:rRNA from 1 species